rnacentral:rRNA from 1 species
AUUGAACGCUGGCGGCAUGCCUUACACAUGCAAGUCGAACGGCAGCACGGGUGCUUGCACCUGGUGGCGAGUGGCGAACGGGUGAGUAAUAUAUCGGAACGUACCUUAUUGUGGGGGAUAACGCAGCGAAAGCUGUGCUAAUACCGCAUAAUCCCUACGGGGGAAAGCGGGGGACCGUAAGGCCUCGCGCAAUUAGAGCGGCCGAUACCUGAUUCGCUAGUUGGUGAGGUAAAGGCUCACCAAGGCAACGAUCAGUAGCUGGUCUGAGAGGACGAUCAGCCACACUGGGACUGAGACACGGCCCAGACUCCUACGGGAGGCAGCAGUGGGGAAUUUUGGACAAUGGGGGCAACCCUGAUCCAGCAAUGCCGCGUGAGUGAAGAAGGCCUUCGGGUUGUAAAGCUCUUUUGUCAGGGAAGAAACAGCAGCUCUAACACAGUUUGCGAAUGACGGUACCUGAGGAAUAAGCACCGGCUAACUACGUGCCAGCCGCCGCGGUAA